rnacentral:rRNA from 1 species
AUGGUAGCACAUGACUUUAUUGUUAAGAAUAAGAAAAGGAUGCUUAACUACAGACUUUUAUUCGAUAAAAAUCACCCUGAGACUAUUACUUUGCCUGCUCCUUCUUUGUUUAACUUAUCUUCAGGCAAGUAUCUUGUUCUGCCGGAGGCAUUUCAUGCCUACCAGAACCUCACAUCAGCUCCAGAGCCAGAGUCGGAGCCACAACCUGAUUCUCCCCGUCAGUCUGUUUAUCAGUGGGAUCCGGAGGAGAUCGCCAAUCAGUGGUACCCCGAGGCUCCGUCUCAGUAUGACCCCAGCUACAACUUUGGACAUCUGCCAGGUCAGCCGUGGCCCUAG